UAAACACCGGUUCCCGUAAGAUCACCGAAGUUAAGCAACGUCGAGUCUGGUCAGUACCUAGAUGGGAGACCGCUUGGAAAUACUAUGUCCUGUAA